UGAGGAAUUUUGCGCAAUGGGCGAAAGCCUGACGCAGCGACGCCGCGUGGAGGAAGACGGCCUUCGGGUUGUAAACUCCUGUCAGGGGUGAAGAAACUUCGCAAGAAGCUGACGGUAACCACAGAGGAAGCCCCGGCUAACUACGUGCCAGCAGCCGCGGUAAUACGUAGGGGGCAAGUGUUGCUCGGAAUUACUGGGCGUAAAGGGUGUGUAGGCGGCUGAUUAAGUCAAGGAUGAAAUCCCGAGGCUCAACUUCGGAACGGUCCUUGAUACUGGUCAGCUUGAGGCUAGUAAAGGAGAGCGGAAUUCCCGGUGGAGCGGUGAAAUGCGUAGAUAUCGUGAGGAACACCAGAGGCGUAGGCGGUUCUCUAGGCUAGUCCUGACGCUGAGACACGGAAGCUAGGGGAGCAAACG
rnacentral:rRNA from 1 species